rnacentral:rRNA from 1 species
ACAGCAGCAGCCACGGUAAUACGUAGGGUGCAAGCGUUAAUCGGAAUUACUGGGCGUAAAGCGUGCGUAGGCGGCUUCUUAAGUCGGAUGUGAAAUCCCUGAGCUUAACUUAGGAAUUGCAUUCGAUACUGGGAAGCUAGAGUAUGGGAGAGGAUGGUAGAAUUCCAGGUGUAGCGGUGAAAUGCGUAGAGAUCUGGAGGAAUACCGAUGGCGAAGGCAGCCAUCUGGCCUAAUACUGACGCUGAGGUACGAAAGCAUGGGGAGCAAACAGGAUUAGAUACCCCUGUAGUCCCUGUCUCUUAUAU